GACGAACGCUGGCGGCGUGCUUAACACAUGCAAGUCGAACGGAAAGGCCCUGCUUUUGUUGGGUGCUCGAGUGGCGCACGUGUGUGUAACACGGGAGUAGCCUGCCCUUUACUUUGGGAUAACGUCAGGAAACGGGGGCUAAUACCGGAUACGAGCUCCUGCUGCAUGGUGGGGGUUGGAAAGGUUCGGCGGUCCGGGUUGGACUCGCGGCUUAUCAGCUUGUUGGUGGGGUAGUGGCUUACCAAGGCUUUGACGGGUAGCCGGCCUGAGAGGGUGGACGGCCACAAGGGGACUGAGAUACGGACCAGACUCGUACGGGAGGCAGCAGUGGGGAAUAUUGCACAACGGGCGGAAGCCUGAUGCAGCAACGCCGCGUGCGGGAUGACGGCCCUCGGGUGGUAAACCGCUUUCGCCUGUGACGAAGCGUGAGUGACGGUAACGGGUAAAGAAGCACCGGCUAACUACGUG
rnacentral:rRNA from 1 species